rnacentral:rRNA from 1 species
CGUCUAUAUACGUAUAGCAUAUCAAUAAGCGGAGGAAAAGAAACUAACAAGGAUUCCCUUAGUAACGGCGAGUGAAGCGGGAAGAGCUCAAAUUUGAAAUCUUCAAGGUUUUACCUUGACGAAUUGUAGUUUAAAGAAGUGUUUUCUGUUGGAGUUUUGGUAAAAGUUCUUUGGAAUAGGACAUCAUAGAGGGUGAGAAUCCCGUAUUUGACCAUUAUUUUCAGCUGUGUGAUACACUUUCAAAGAGUCGGAUUGUUUGGGAAUGCAGUCCAAAAUGGGUGGUAAAUUUCAUCUAAAGCUAAAUAUUGGCGAGAGACCGAUAGCGAACAAGUACCGUGAGGGAAAGAUGAAAAGAACUUUGAAAAGAGAGUUAAACAGUACGUGAAAUUGUCGAAAGGGAAGCGUUUGACACCAGUGUUGUUUUCUCGAAAAUCAAUUAAAAAUGACCGGAUUUUGUGUUGUAUUGACUUUAUCAGCUUUCUGCACUUUUUUCUUAUCUUUUUUAAUGCACUUUUCGUUUAACAAGUCAACAUCAAUUUCUUUUGUUGUAAAAGAGUCAUUGGAAGGUGGCUUUUCAUUCGGUGAAAGUGUUUAUAGCCUUUGACUUCUGCAAUCGGAGAGAUUGAGGUCUGCAGCGUAGAUCCUUCGGGGUUAGAUACAUUUGUGCUAAGUUAUAGCUUUUCAUAGACAACUUGUUGACUAUGUUUAGUCUUGUAGCUUACUCGCUUAUGCUAUUUUACCUACGCUUAGGAUGUUGAUAUGCAUGACUGAUAUA